AUUAAUUUAAUGGCUGCAGUAUUUUAACUGUACAAAGGUAGCAUAAUAAUUAGUUCCUUAAUUAGGGACUGGAAUGAAGGAUUGAACGAGAUAAAAAUUGUCUCUUUUUAAAUUUUAUAAUUUUAUUUUUAAGUUAAAAAGCUUAAAUAUUAUUAAAAGACGAGAAGACCCUAUAGAGUUUUAUAAUUAUAAUAUUUGUAAAUUUUAGUAAUAAAAUUUUAUUUGUAUAGUAAUUAUUUGAUUGGGGUGAUUUUAAAAUUUAAAAAACUUUAAUAUAUUUUACAUUAAUAUAUGACUAAUUGAUCCAUAAAUUAUGAUUAAAAGAUUAAAUUACCUUAGGGAUAACAGCGUAAUUUUUUUAAAGAGUUCUAAUCGAAAAAAAAGAUUGCGACCUCGAUGUUGGAUUAAAAUAAAUUUUUGGUGUAGAAGCUGAAAUAUUAGGUCUGUUCGACCUUUAAAAUUUUACAUGAUCUGAGUUUAAAUCGGCGUGAGCCAGGUUGGUUUCUAUCUUUAAUUAAAUAAAAUAUUUUAGUACGAAAGGACCAUAUAUUUAUAAAGUUUAUUUAUUUAUGAUUAAUAUUA
rnacentral:rRNA from 1 species